rnacentral:tRNA from 1 species
UCCUGGGUGGCUCAGUUGGUUAAGCGUCUGACUUCAGCUCAGGUCAUGAUUUCAUGGUUCGUGGGUUUGAACCCUGCCUUGGGCU